rnacentral:rRNA from 1 species
AAUUCCGGUUGAUCCUGCCGGACCUGACUGCUAUCGGAUUGGUACUAAGCCAUGCGAGUCGUUGUAGCAAUACAAGGCGGACUGCUCAGUAACACGUAGUUAACUUAACCUAUGGAUGGGAAUAACCUCGGGAAACUGAGAAUAAUACCCAAUAGAUCACAGUGCCUGGAAUGGCCUGUGAUUGAAAUGAUUUAUCGCUGUAGGAUGGGACUGCGGCCUAUCAGCUUGUUGGUGAGGUAAUGGCCCACCAAGGCUAUAACAGGUACGGGCUCUGAGAGGAGGGGCCCGGAGAUGGGUACUGAGACACGGACCCAGGCCCUAUGGGGCGCAGCAGGCGAGAAACCUUUGCAAUGUGCGAAAGCACGACAAGGUUAAUCCGAGUGUCUCCUGCUAAAGGAGUCUUUUGUCAGUUGUAGAAUCACUGGUGAAUAAGGGGUGGGCAAGUUCUGGUGUCAGCCGCCGCGGUAAAACCAGCACCUCGAGUGGUCAGGAGGUUUAUUGGGCCUAAAGCAUCCGUAGCCGGUUGCAUAAGUUUUCGGUUAAAUCUAUGCGCUUAACGUAUAGGCCGCCGAA